GCGGUUUGUCGCGUCUGCUGUGAAAGCCCGGGGCUCAACCCCGGGUCUGCAGUGGGUACGGGCAGACUAGAGUGCAGUAGGGGAGACUGGAAUUCCUGGUGUAGCGGUGAAAUGCGCAGAUAUCAGGAGGAACACCGAUGGCGAAGGCAGGUCUCUGGGCUGUUACUGACGCUGAGGAGCGAAAGCAUGGGGAGCGAACAGGAUUAGAUACCCUGGUAGUCCAUGCCGUAAACGUUGGGCACUAGGUGUGGGGGACAUUCCACGUUUUCCGCGCCGUAGCUAACGCAUUAAGUGCCCCGCCUGGGGAGUACGGCCGCAAGGCUAAAACUCAAAGGAAUUGACGGGGGCCCGCACAAGCGGCGGAGCAUGCGGAUUAAUUCGAUGCAACGCGAAGAACCUUACCAAGGCUUGACAUUCACCGGACCGCCCCAGAGAUGGGGUUUCCCUUCGGGGCUGGUGGACAGGUGGUGCAUGGUUGUCGUCAGCUCGUGUCGUGAGAUGUUGGGUUAAGUCCCGCAACGAGCGCAACCCUCGUUCUAUGUUGCCAGCACGUGAUGGUGGGGACUCAUAGGAGACUGCCGGGGUCAACUCGGAGGAAGGUGGGGAUGACGUCAAAUCAUCAUGCCCCUUAUGUCUUGGGCUUCACGCAUGCUACAAUGGCCGGUACAAAGGGUUGCGAUACUGUGAGGUGGAGCUAAUCCCAAAAAGCCGGUCUCAGUUCGGAUUGAGGUCUGCAACUCGACCUCAUGAAGUCGGAGUCGCUAGUAAUCGCAGAUCAGCAACGCUG
rnacentral:rRNA from 1 species